UAUGAGCCCAGCCCACUAAUUACGCACGACUCAUUAAGAGUCCUUUAACCCAGCACAUGUGCAACGAGGCCACGAUCCCCACACCCGGCAGUCCCGUGCAUCGCCUCCCCCAUAACCUAGCCGCCUCCCUUCGUGUUCGGCCGCUGACGAGCUCUGCCUCCCUCGCCGGUUCGAUCUCCCACUACUCGCAUGUUGUUGAUAGGAUUCAGAGCAAAGAAAUCUGGAAGGGACGAUUUCACCACAGCUUAGGGUUCGUUUACCACAAGAUCGGCUAAAUCCACGAAAGCUCCUAGUGCUGCAGCCAAAACGGAUUUGGGAUACUCCAUGGCGGUGAUUUCUCGAAGAUCCACGAACCACGGCGGCGAUAUAUACCCCGGUGGGCGCGGCGGAGAAGGGCACAUAAGAGGUGUUCAGCGCAUGAGUGCAUCCAUGCCCAUUCGUUCCGUUGGCCGCUCAUGGUAUUCAGGUACUUUUCCUGUUUGGAUUGGUUGGAUACUUUGAUACCAAUCAUCUCAGCUAAUGGAAGAUUACAUUAUGUUACUGAUGGAGAUUUACAAAAAAAUACACAAACAGUGUAGAGAUAUGAUCUUCAUCUAGCUGUUUUAGUUUCGGCAAUAGUAUCUGACAAAGAUACAUAGCAGUACUAUGGUAUCAUUUAAUUCGCAUCUUGCCAUGAUUUUAUCUUGUAUGUAUGCUGAGAAAUUGAACACUUAUUAAUAGGUCUGUGUUGUAUUGAAGCCAGGAAUCUCUGCUUUCUUGCGAGAUCCAUUUGAUCCAUAUAGAGAAGGCUACAUCGCUCUUGCAAAAGGAAAUCAAAGAACGUAAUUCAUUGCAUUUUGGAUGUGAAUACCUCUUUUCUUUUUAUAGAAGUGUACAGCCGCUUCACACCUCACGUGCUGGUUCAUGUGCAAUAUGAGAAACAAUGUAUUUCCCGUAAAACUUAGUUUCCCCAUGGAUCUCUUUAGCCUAUGCUAUACUCAGGGCUGUUUUUCUUGAUGAAAACGUGAGCGCAUCAACAGCAACAAUCAGCAACAGGACGACCUGUAGGUCUUAUGAGCUAUAUAAAAUGCACAAGGUUGCAAAAAUAUCUUGCGUUCUGACUUAGCUUUGGCAUGUUACCAUGGUCCCAUAAAUCGGCAAGACUUUCUAUUUGGAUAUCUGCUCUGGAUAUGUUAGGCCAAAUAUCGGAAAAUACAUAUAGUAUAAGACUAGGUAGAAUAUAUUAUAUUUUGAUGCAAGAUUGUAAAUUGUCUAUUCUUAAUAUUCAUGUAUGGAAUGGUAUUCCAAGAAGAAUAUAUGUAGGACCAGGUAGAGUAUCAUAUUUCGUGCAAAUUGUAAAUUAUGUACUCAUUGGAUAAUAUGUCUGUA